rnacentral:rRNA from 1 species
CCUACGGGAGGCAGCAGUGGGGAAUUUUGGACAAUGGGGGCAACCCUGAUCCAGCCAUGCCGCGUGCAGGAUGAAGGCCUUCGGGUUGUAAACUGCUUUUGUACGGAACGAAAAGACUCUGGUUAAUACCUGGGGUCCAUGACGGUACCGUAAGAAUAAGCACCGGCUAACUACGUGCCAGCAGCCGCGGUAAUACGUAGGGUGCAAGCGUUAAUCGGAAUUACUGGGCGUAAAGCGUGCGCAGGCGGUGAUGUAAGACAGAGGUGAAAUCCCCGGGCUCAACCUGGGAACUGCCUUUGUGACUGCAUCGCUGGAGUGCGGCAGAGGGGGAUGGAAUUCCGCGUGUAGCAGUGAAAUGCGUAGAUAUGCGGAGGAACACCGAUGGCGAAGGCAAUCCCCUGGGCCUGCACUGACGCUCAUGCACGAAAGCGUGGGGAGCAAACAGGAUUAGAUACCCUGGUAGUCCACGCCCUAAACGAUGUCAACUGGUUGUUGGGUUUUAAUUAACUCAGUAACGAAGCUAACGCGUGAAGUUGACCGCCUGGGGAGUACGGCCGCAAGGUUGAAACUCAAAUGAAUUGACGG